AUUGAACGCUGGCGGCAGGCCUAACACAUGCAAGUCGAGCGAGCGGCGGACGGGUGUGAAAUGUAUGGGGACUGCCCGAUAGAGGGGGAGAACUAAUAGAAACGGUGUCUCAUACCGCAUACUCACGGAUAAAACCAAUGGGAUUAGCUAGUAGGUAAGGUAAGGGCUUACCUAGGCGCAGAUCCCGAGCUGGUCGGAGAGGAUGAUCAGCCACACUGGGACGGAGACACGGCCCAGACUCCUACGGAGGCAGCAGUGGGGAAUAUUGCACAAUGGGCGCAAGCCUGAUGCAGCCAUGCCGCGUGUAUGAAGAAGGCCCUAGGGUUGUAAAGUACUUUCAGUCGGGAGGCGUUACCGACAGAAGAAGCACCGGCUAACUCCGUGCCAGCAGCCGCGGUAAUAC
rnacentral:rRNA from 1 species